rnacentral:rRNA from 1 species
GGGUAGUUUGACUGGGGCGGUCUCCUCCUAAAGAGUAACGGAGGAGCACGAAGGUUGGCUAAUCCUGGUCGGACAUCAGGAGGUUAGUGCAAUGGCAUAAGCCAGCUUGACUGCGAGCGUGACGGCGCGAGCAGGUGCGAAAGCAGGUCAUAGUGAUCCGGUGGUUCUGAAUGGAAGGGCCAUCGCUCAACGGAUAAAAGGUACUCCGGGGAUAACAGGCUGAUACCGCCCAAGAGUUCAUAUCGACGGCGGUGUUUGGCACCUCGAUGUCGGCUCAUCACAUCCUGGGGCUGAAGUAGGUCCCAAGGGUAUGGCUGUUCGCCAUUUAAAGUGGUACGCGAGCUGGGUUUAGAACGUCGUGAGACAGUUCGGUCCCUAUCUGCCGUGGGCGCUGGAGAACUGAGGGGGGCUGCUCCUAGUACGAGAGGACCGGAGUGGACGCAUCACUGGUGUUCGGGUUGUCAUGCCAAUGGCACUGCCCGGUAGCUAAAUGCGGAAGAGAUAAGUGCUGAAAGCAUCUAAGCACGAAACUUGCCCCGAGAUGAGUUCUCCCUGAGACUUAGAGUCUCCUGAAGGAACGUUGAAGACGACGACGUUGAUAGGCCGGGUGUGUAAGCGCAGCGAUGCGUUGAGCUAACCGGUA